rnacentral:piRNA from 1 species
GUGGAAAUAACAUGUAGAAUUGCAGUU